GGUUUUAUGGUGUAGUGGUGAGCACACUAGACUCUGAAUCUGGAGACCGGAGUUCGAAUCUCCGUAAAACCA